rnacentral:lncRNA from 1 species
AGCAGAAGAGGAAGAACAUGAGGAGAGAUAAUGAGAGCACUGUGUCUGAGUUCAUCCUCCUGGGGCUCCCCAUUCGAGCAGAGGAUCAAGACAUGUACUCUGCCCCGUUCCUGGCCAUGUACCUGACAACUGUGCUGGGGAACCUGCUCAUCAUCCUACUCAUCAGGCUGGACUCUCACCUCCACACCCCCAUGUACUUCUUCCUCAGUCACUUGGCCUUCACUGACAUCUCUUUCUCAUCUGCUACAGCUCCAAAGAUGCUAAGAAAUAUGCUGAUUCACAGUCAUUUUAUCUCAUAUGCUGGGUAUGUUUCCCAGGUAUACUUUUUCACUUUUUUGAGGAGCAUUGACAGCUUCCUUCUGAUGUCUAUGGCCUAUGACAGAUAUGUGGCCAUCUGCCACCCUCUGCACUAUACCAUUAUCAUGAGUCAGAGUCUCUGUGUUCUUCUAGUAGCUAUGUCCUGGACUUUAUCUUUUUUUUAAAAUAUUUUUUUUAUUAGGUAUUUUUCUCAUUUACAUUUUCCAAU